rnacentral:rRNA from 1 species
GAGUUUGACCAUGGCUCAGGAUGAACGCUAGCGGCAGGCCUAACACAUGCAAGUCGAGGGGUAACAUGAAGUGCUUGCGCUUUCAUGACGACCGGCACACGGGUGCGUAACGCGUAUACAAUCUACCUUAUACUGGGGUAUAGCCUUUAGAAAUGAAGAUUAACACCCCAUAGUAUAUAAACUUGGCAUCAAGUUUAUAUUAAAGGUUACGGUGUAAGAUGAGUAUGCGUUCUAUUAGCUAGAUGGUGUGGUAACGGCACACCAUGGCAACGAUAGAUAGGGGCCCUGAGAGGGGGAUCCCCACACUGUUACUGAGACACGGACCAGACUCCUACGGGAGGCAGCAGUGAGGAAUAUUGGACAAUGGAGGCACCUCUGAUCCAGCCAUGCCGCGUGCAGGAAGACUGCCCUAUGGGUUGUAAACUGCUUUUAUACAGGAAGAAACACUGCUACGUGUAGCAGCUUGACGGUACUGUAAGAAUAAGGAUCGGCUAACUCCGUGCCAGCAGCCGCGGUAAUACGGAGGAUCCAAGCGCUAUCCGGAAUCAUUGGGUUUAAAGGGUCCGUAGGUGGAUGAUUAAGUCAGAGGUGAAAUCUUGCAGCUCAACUGUAAAAUUGCCUUUGAUACUGGUUAUCUUGAGUUAUUAUGAAGUAGUUAGAAUAUGUAGUGUAGCGGUGAAAUGCAUAGAUAUUACAUAGAAUACCAAUUGCGAAGGCAGAUUACUAAUAAUCAACUGACACUGAUGGACGAAAGCGUGGGGAGCGAACAGGAUUAGAUACCCUGGUAGUCCACGCCGUAAACGAUGGAUACUAGCUGUUCGGACUUCGGUUUGAGUGGCUAAGCGAAAGUGAUAAGUAU